rnacentral:lncRNA from 1 species
UUCUAAUAAAUUACAGAACCAUUAAAAAAGUGAUUUAGAAAAAAAAUUUUGGAUGGAUGAGAAACGAAGCGGAUAGCGUGCUACCUAUCUCUCUCAAAAAAAAAGAACUUUUUUUGGAUGUUCUUGAUGCCAUUGGUACUUACUAGAUUUUCAUUAGAGUUCGCAGUCGAUAAAUUUAUAUCUAUAUACUAUCUAGUAAAGUGUCAGCGAUCAUUACAACAUGUAUUAGAGAAAAACCGACCGUCCCUAGCGCAAGUGGCAAAGAGCUUGGUGGUUAGUACCCGAGGUCCCAAGUUCGAAUCCUAGUUGAUUCAUAUUUUCCAGCUAAGUUUAUUUCUAAAUGAAAUAAACGAAACGGGUACGUAGCGUGCUACCUAUUUCUCAAAAAAAAAAAAAAAAAAAAA